UAAGCUUUAAGUUAUAUAAACUAGGAGGUUUCAAGCCUCUUUAAGAGUAAUCAAGCUUAU
rnacentral:tRNA from 1 species